GACGAACGCUGGCGGCGUGCUUAACACAUGCAAGUCGAACGCUGAAGCUUGGUGCUUGCACUGGGUGGAUGAGUGGCGAACGGGAGAGUAAUACGUGAGUAACCUGCCCUUGACUCUGGGAUAAGCCUGGGAAACUGGGUCUAAUACUGGAUAUGACAUGCCACUGCAUGGUGGUGUGUGGAAAGGGUUUUACUGGUUUUGGAUGGGCUCACGGCCUAUCAGCUUGUUGGUGGGGUAAUGGCCUACCAAGGCGACGACGGGUAGCCGGCCUGAGAGGGUGACCGGCCACACUGGGACUGAGACACGGCCCAGACUCCUACGGGAGGCAGCAGUGGGGAAUAUUGCACAAUGGGCGGAAGCCUGAUGCAGCGACGCCGCGUGAGGGAUGACGGCCUUCGGGUUGUAAACCUCUUUCAGCACGGAAGAAGCGAGAGUGACGGUACGUGCAGAAGAAGCGCCGGCUAACUACGUG
rnacentral:rRNA from 1 species